UUUUUUUUUUUUUUGACAUUAUGAAUGUUCUCUUCCUGAAUUCCCUUGUGUUCUUUGAGAUGUUAUUAACAAUGGGGAAAACAGGAUGUAGUUACAUAAUAAAAGUAUGCACCACCCCCACCAUUCUGCUCUUACCAAGCAAAACUGUACAUCUGAAAGCCCAUGCCUAAUGGGAAGAAACCUGCACAUACCAUACUGUCUUCACCUGUUCUCAGCUCAAAAUUUUCAGCUAAUUAUGAUAAAAAGAGAAAUCUCACCUUGACUCUACAAAGUGGCCACAAGCCUCUAAACACUGGCAAAGAUGCAAUCAAUAGUUUGUUGAUAUUAUGCAAAUAUCCAUAGCAAAAUAUUGCCUUUCUCCCAAAUUUAUGGCUUUAGGACUUCAGAGUACUGUAAGAAAAUAACAGUUUUUCAGCUCAACACCACAGCAUACAAAGCUGAUAGAAGUUUGCAAAGUGUGAGGUUUUCAGAUAUGAGCAAUUACAGGGUAAAAAAUAUGAAAGGAGUGAAGAAUUGUCAUCUUUUGACCUGGUGCCAGGAUCCAAGAGAGUUGCCAUAUGGAUCUCUGAAUCCAGUCACCAAAACUCAGUGUUGCUCUAAAGUUGACUGGAUAUGAAAGGAAUGUCCCAGCUUGAUGAGAGAAGGACAGGGAAGUCCUCCUCAGGGACUUUUCAUUCCAUGCCUGUGGUUUCUCUAGGAAGGACAGUUUCAUGCUUCAUUAUCUUCCUUAGUCAUGGCUUGUUUGAUUGCAAGAAAUGGAAAUCCAUUGAAACAAGCCAAAGCAAGGGAGUACUAUUCAGCAAAAAGGAUGAAUGAACUAUGGCUAUACACAACUACAUGGUGAUUCCACAAGCACAGUGUUAAGCAAGAGAUUCCAGAGACAAACCUUGUAUGUACUUCAUGAUUCCAUUUAUAUAAAAAUGCAAAACAAAUGUACAGUGUGACUGCUGAUGGAAGACUGUUGUAAGACAUGAGUAGAAGAAACAGAGAUGGAAAUAAAUUGAUGGUUUAGGCACUUCUUAAAAGAGAUGCCGUGGGCUAGGAAGGCAAUGCAAGACUUGGCCCCUGAAACUUCCAGUUUCCUUUCUGAGACAAAGGAGGCCAUGAAGUUGGUGCCAAAUGAUACCUACUGGUGUGGGUGUUGGUAACUGGAGACCUCAGUAUCAUUAUUAACUCCUGGCCAUCUCCUUUCACUUGUCAGUCAAGUCAUGAUCUCUGAAAGAGCUUCUUUGUAUACAACUCACCAAAUGCAAUCUUCUGUAUACCAAGGGAGUGGAAACCCUUAGAGAAACUCACAAUCCAGUUAGAGGAAGCAGAGCACUAAAAAGACAACAAAGAGAAGCAAAACAAGCAUGAUUUAAUAACCUAUCCUGGUUAAGAAAGAAUCAGUCUGGGAAAGUUAUACCAUAUUGAAGGUAAUGAGGAUACACACUCAGAGACAUGCAUAUGUAUUAAGGAUCUAGCAAAGAUUCAUAAACACUUAAUAAACUUUUGCAGUAAAUAUAAACCACUUACAUAGCCAUAUCUUUUCUUUAUACAGGACUUAGAGCCAGUGGGGAAGUAUAAAAGACUCCAUCAAGGUGAAUAAUGGAAAAGAUAAAGGGAGCCUGGAGGAGAAAUAUGGGAGGCAAGAGGGGUCUACAGCUAUGGAUAUACCCCAGUGGACUAGUCAGUAAUUGAAAGUGAAAGAUGUACCAAUAAUUUACACAAUCUUUUCUACCAAUUGCAUGCAAGCUCUGCUAACAGUCAACGUUUGCACUAAUGCACCCUCCCACAUAUUAUGACUUAGUUAUAUUUGGGUGAGGAGUGACAGAUGAGGGUAAGUGUUGGAUGGUAGCAUUUAAAACAGAUUGUUGACCUAACAUUGGAUGGAAAACCAGAUCAGUGCUCUAGACCCAGUCCUGUGACAGUGUAUCUGGAUGUAUUUUAAGUCACUAGCAGAAAGAGGCUGGAGUGUUAAGAGGAAACUCUUUAGAAGUAGUAAAGAUUUGGAGGCAGACAGCUGAAUGCGAAAGCUUAAAAAUGAAUAUUAUAACUAGUAAACUGGGUCAUUUGCUUGUUUGCUCUUAAAUCCUCUCCCUGUCCUUUUUCUGUAAACUUCAUUUCCUGAACUCUCUUGCCAACUAGCUUCUGGCUUGUGUUAGUCAAUAAAAAUCACUGGGGUGAUUGAAGAUUAGGGGGAAGAGGAAGACAGGGUGUUUCUCCCCCUUUCUCUCAGCUUCAGCCAACGUCUCUAGCAGUGACUGUGUCUCUUCCUUGGUCUCUGUUCCUACUAUGAAGCCUCUGCUAUUAAUUAGCUUCUGUGGGUGGCUCUGAUUCUUGGGCUCCAAUAACUCUAAUUCUUCUCUGUAUCUUUCUGGUCCUACUAAUGGUUCAAAACCAUUGUAAAAUCCUUCUACUGGAGUACCUUGCAUAGCCUCUGGGCAGAUGGCUAAACCAUGAAUGAUACAAACAGAAGGUCAUCUUCAGCUACAGGAUGAAGAAUUUCCAUCAGGAGUUAUUGGAGGAAGGAGGCCAUGGAGGAAAGUUUAGAAUUUCGUAGUAACUGUUUUCAUAUUUUUAAAGAAAGUUGUAUCAUGAUAGGCGAGGCAUCAAAGAUCACUGGGAAAAAUGAUAGAAGAGCUGCUGAAAGGAUCAAGGGCUGUCCACACUGAGAAAAGGGACAGAGAUGCUAAAAUGAGAGACCCGUGGGGGACCAAAAGUAUAUGGCUUUAUAGGGUACCAAAACUAUAUAGCUUUAUAAUAUAUGCAAAAGCAAGUGAGUGGUACAGGAUGGGAAUAAACUAAACUGUGACUUAGAACACAGAGGGCAAAGGUUGUGAGAAUACAAUGUCUUACGUGGGGGUCACAGGAGGAUUACAGAAAGUUAGAGGGCCUUUUCCUUGAAAUCACCCACAAGGAAGGGCUGAGAAUUUGCAGGUCCUACUGUGAAACUCUCCCAAACAGUAUAGGCCACUCUAUGAUGGCCAUUGCAGCCAUCAUGGAUGAUAGACAGAGGACUUCCCAACUUGAUUACAACCAGAACAAGGCCCAAUAACCUCUUUAUUUGUGGUCAGUUUUGGGCUGACAGGCCUGAUCCUAGGCCUCUUUUCCCAUAAAGCCAUUCUUUAUCCUUUCUUUGAUCUGCUUUUUCUCUUGGAAGGAAGGGGUGAUCCUAACAAGUGGAUUUUUUCACUAUCCCCAGCAGUUGUCUUCCAGAUGUGUUUGGGCAAUGAGAGCCAUUGCUGAGAGAUUAGAGGGAGAGAGAAAGAGAAAGAGAGAAGCCAGGGUCUUUCUCUGCCUCCUUCUCUGCCUUGGGCAGCAUCCUAGCCAGGGCUUCAUCUUCCAGGUGGGCCCAGCUGUUUCCCAGUAGCCUGCUGUAGUUCUAUUUUCUGCUUUACCAUCCCAGCCCUGGGUGCCAGUAAAACCACCUCUCCCCUCUGUUCUUACAGCUGCCUAGGGUAGCAGAUAAUUCCAAAUGUUGUCAAUUCCUGGAUUGCCUCAUUGUAUCUCAUUUGGCUUUUCCAGCAUCCAUCACUUCAGUAACUGAUUUCUUAGAUUGUAUUUCUUCCAUUUUAAAUACUCACAUGGUUUCUGCCCGCUCGACAGACCCUGACUGAUACACUAAGCCUACAAAGAUGUUACACAAGCCAAAGAUAAUUAGGACAAGUGGAGUGGUACCAGGUAGUCACAGCUCUUGGUCCCAGAUCCAAAAGGCCAAGUUCAUACAUUUUCCUGAGAUCAACUGCAUGAUGAAUUCUUCUCCUUCAGCCCUCCAAACAAGAGGGCAUCAAAACAAGUUGUCAAAAAUAUUCCCAUUUUAGAGAUUUUUCUUCCUAUAUCUGAGGAUCCUAAAUUGCUGCCUCAAGAUAAAUCUGUUAUUAUUUCUCCUCCUCUAUUUUAGGCAUAAGGGCAUGGUAGAAUUUCAAGACUCAGAACACACAGGCAGCUAUAGGCCUCUAUGACCCAACAGAUUGGAUUUUAAUAUUAUUAUAAUUGACUUUGAAUUUAAUUUAAUUUGAAUUUCUAAAAUAUGAAUUAUUUCUUAAGAUGAUUAUGCAAUAAAAUUGACUUUUAUCCCUUUUAGCAUAUAGUUCUAUGAAUUAUAACACGUGCAGAUUAAUGUAACCACCCCAACAACCAGGAUUUAGAAAAGUCCCAUCAUCCUAAAGCUGUCAUACUUUGUAGUCAUACUCUCAACCUACCCCUAAUUUCUGGCAGUCAUCAAUGUGUUCUUCCAUCUCCCAAUUUUUACUUUUUUUCUGGCUAUGCUUGUGACAUGUGGAAAUUCCCAGGCCAGGGAUUGAACUCACACAACAGCAGCAACCAGAGCCACAACAGUGACAAUGCUGGAUCCUGAACUCACUGCACUAUAAGAGAACUUCCAAAGUUUUCUGUUUUUGAUAAUUUCAUAUAAAUAGAACAAUAUGUGAUGUUUCGAGACUGGUUUUCACUUGGCAGAAUGCUUUUGAGAUACACCCAUGUUAUGCUAGCUUGUUCCUUUUUAUUACUGAGUAGUAUUCUACUGUAAGAAUGUGCCAGUUUUUCCAUUUAUUUGCUGAAAGCAAUUUGAGUUUCUUACUGUUUGGGACAGUUAUGAAUAAAUCCACUAUGAAUGUUCACAUACAGAUUUUUGUGUGAAUAUAAUUUUGCAUCUCUGGGGUAAACCUUGAGUAGUAGGAUAUCUGAGUCAUGUAAUACGUGUAUGUUUAAUUAUAUAAGAAAAUACUAAACUGUUUUAUAGAGCUGUUGGACCAUUUUUGUAUUCCUACCAACAGUGUAUGAGAUUUUCAGUUUCUCUGCAUCUUUGUCAUCUGCUGAUAUUGUCAGUAUUUUUAAAAUUUUGGCCAUUUUAACAGGUAUGUAGGGUAUGUGCUGGUAUCUCAUCAUGACUUUAAUUUUCAUUUUCCUAAUGACUAAUAGUGUUGAACAUCCUUUUUUCACUUGCUUAUUCGCCAUCCCUAAAUCGUCUUUAGUGAAGUGUCUGAAGUUUUUCAACUAUUUUUAACUCAGUAUUUGUUUUACUACUAUUGAGUUUUGAGAGGUUUUCUAUAUCUUGGAA
rnacentral:lncRNA from 1 species